rnacentral:rRNA from 1 species
GACGAACGCUGGCGGCGUGCCUAAUACAUGCAAGUCGAACGCAGUGGGGACGGGUGAGUAACACGUGGGUAACCUCCCAUCAGAGGGGAUAACACUUGGAAACAGGUGCUAAACCGAUACUGAUUGAUGGACCCGCGGUGCAUUAGCUAGUUGGUGAGGUAACGGCUCACCAAGGCCACGAUGCCUAGCGGAGCUGAGAGGAUGAUCGGCCAGACGGGGACAGAGACAGGGCCCAGACUCCGACGGGAGGCAGCAGUGGGGAAUCGUCGGCAAUGGAGGAAAGUCUGAACGAGCAACGACGCGUGAGUGAAGAAGGUUUUCGGAUCGUAAAGCUCUGUUGUUAGAGAAGCGGUAUCUAACCAGAAAGCCACGGCUAACUACGUGCCAGCAGCCGCGGUAAUUC